rnacentral:lncRNA from 1 species
ACAGGACUUGUGAUGUAGAUCGUCGUCAUUUUUGUUUCACAAACAAGGAAGGAGAAUCUCAGAGAUUCCGUAAACUCCAUAAAGCGGUGAUUCAUGACAGAAGCAGGGACGCAACUUCGACCAGUUGUGCUGUGAUUUAGAAUUCUUAGCUGGAGCUGCCCCACCCACCACGACAAUCUGAGACUUGGAAUCUGAACCUGGAGUUGGAAGCAGAACUUUAGAUCAGUGUGAUGCUCCUCCUGCACAGAGGCUUCUUGUGGUAGACGUCAGUCAACACUGAAACCCACAGCUCAUCAACACUCAGAGAAAAGGAGACCUUGAGACCCUGAAUCCUACGUGACAUGUUUAUAUUAUAUCCCUCAUUUCGAAGCUAACGUGUCUACAUAGAAGAGGAGGCAGAAAGAUUGUAAGAAUCAGAAGCAAUGGAUGGUUUCAAAGAAAGAAUGUCUUCCAGACAUAGCAGAGCAGAUGCACGUAUGACCUCACAGAGACUGUGGUAGCAUGCACAAGACCCGCACAAACUCAAGCUAGACAUAAUCUCGGCACACAGGAGGGUAGGCACGACAUCCCGUUUCCUGCUGCUGGGAGACAGACAGUGAACUGUCUUCCACAGGAUGGCCACACUCUGGACAAACCCCUCUCUCGUGACAGUAGCCAGCCAACACAACCUGGACUCCAUGGGUUUUAUUUUGUAUUUAUGGUGAGGGUCGGGGGAGAAAGCACAAGAAGUUAGUGUGAAGGAUCAAACCCAGGACCGUGUUCAGGCUAAGCAAGCAUCCAACCACUGCGCUACAUCAGAAGCCCUUUUUUUGUGACUGGCUCUCUCUAUGUAAAGCUGACCUUGAACUUCCUCUGUACUCCACAUUGACCUGGAAACUGUCCUCUCUCUACCUACAUAGUGCUUGGAUUAUAGCUGUGACCACCUCAGGUGAACAUGCUUUCAUUUCUUCUGAUACUUUUACAUGUUAUUAUCAAGAUGGCCUAACUCUAAUUUUCCAUUUCUGUAGGGGAAAAUGUCUAUAAACAUUUCAGCUCAAUAAAUAGUUGAUUGUGGUGGAAAUAAAACUUUUUUUUUUAUUCCC